rnacentral:rRNA from 1 species
CCUAUCAGCUAGUUGGUGAGGUAACGGCUCACCAAGGCAAUGACGGGUAGCCGGCCUGAGAGGGCGACCGGCCACACUGGAACUGAGAUACGGUCCAGACUCCUACGGGAGGCAGCAGUGGGGAAUAUUGGGCAAUGGGAGCAAUCCUGACCCAGCAACGCCGCGUGAAUGAAGAAGGCCCUUGGGUCGUAAAGUUCUUUUGUGUGGGAAGAAGGAAGUGACGGUACCACACGAAUAAGCCCCGGCUAACUACGUGCCAGCAGCCGCGGUAAUACGUAGGGGGCGAGCGUUGUCCGGAAUUACUGGGCGUAAAGGGCACGCAGGCUGUGCUAUAAGUCGGCUGUAAAAGGAUGCGGCUUAACCGUGUUAAGCAGUCGAAACUGUAGUGCUGGAGUACCAGAGAGGCAAGUGGAAUUCCCAGUGUAGCGGUGAAAUGCGUAGAUAUUGGGAAGAACAUCGGUGGCGAAGGCGACUUGCUGGCUGGUAACUGACGCUCCUGUGCGAAAGCUAGGGGAGCAAACGGGAUUAGAUACCCCGGUAGUCCUAGCGGUAAACGAUGAAUGCUGGGUGUGCGAGUAGAGAUACUGGCGUGCCGUAGUUAACGCGAUAAGCAUUCCGCCUGGGGAGUACGGUCGCAAGAUUGAAACUCAAAGGAAUUGACGGGGGCCCGCACAAGCGGUGGAGCACGUGGUUUAAUUCGAUGCAAACCGAAGAACCUUACCUGGGUUUGACAUGUAUGUGGUAGGAGGCGGAAACGUCAACGAUCCAGCUUUCGGGUUGGAAGCAUACACAGGUGCUGCAUGGCUGUCGUCAGCUCGUGUCGUGAGAUGUUGGGUUAAGUCCCGCAACGAGCGCAACCCCUGCAUUUAGUUGCCAUCAGGUGAAGCUGGGCACUCUAGAUGGACUGCCAUCGACAAGGUGGAGGAAGGUGGGGAUGACGUCAAGUCAUCAUGGCCCUUAUGUCCAGGGCGACACACGUGCUACAAUGGUUGGUACAGAGGGAAGCGAGCUUGUGAGAGUGAGCGGAUCCCAUAAAGCCAAUCUCAGUUCGGAUUGAAGUCUGCAAUUCGACUUCAUGAAGCUGGAAUCGCUAGUAAUCGCAGAUCAGCCAAGCUGCGGUGAAUACGUUCCAGGGCCUUGUACACACCGCCCGUC